rnacentral:rRNA from 1 species
AGAGUUUGAUCCUGGCUCAGGAUGAACGCUGGCGGCGUGCUUAACACAUGCAAGUCGAACGAACCUUCGGGUUAGUGGCGGACGGGUGAGUAACGCGUGAGAAUCUGCCCUCAGGAGGGGGAUAACGGCUGGAAACGGCCGCUAAUACCCCAUAUGCCGAGAGGUGAAACGAAAUUCGCCUGAGGAUGAGCUCGCGUCUGAUUAGCUAGUUGGUGGGGUAAGAGCCUACCAAGGCAUCGAUCAGUAGCUGGUCUGAGAGGAUGAUCAGCCACACUGGGACUGAGACACGGCCCAGACUCCUACGGGAGGCAGCAGUGGGGAAUUUUCCGCAAUGGGCGAAAGCCUGACGGAGCAACGCCGCGUGAGGGAUGAAGGCCUCUGGGCUGUAAACCUCUUUUAUCAAGGAAGAAGAUCUGACGGUACUUGAUGAAUAAGCCACGGCUAAUUCCGUGCCAGCAGCCGCGGUAAUACGGGAGUGGCAAGCGUUAUCCGGAAUUAUUGGGCGUAAAGCGUCCGCAGGCGGCCUUUUAAGUCUGUUGUCAAAGCGUGGAGCUUAACUCCAUUUCGGCAAUGGAAACUGGGAGGCUUGAGUGUGGUAGGGGCAGAGGGAAUUCCCGGUGUAGCGGUGAAAUGCGUAGAUAUCGGGAAGAACACCAGUGGCGAAGGCGCUCUGCUGGGCCAUAACUGACGCUCAUGGACGAAAGCCAGGGGAGCGAAAGGGAUUAGAUACCCCUGUAGUCCUGGCCGUAAACGAUGAACACUAGGUGUCGGGGGAAUCGACCCCCUCGGUGUCGUAGCCAACGCGUUAAGUGUUCCGCCUGGGGAGUACGCACGCAAGUGUGAAACUCAAAGGAAUUGACGGGGGCCCGCACAAGCGGUGGAGUAUGUGGUUUAAUUCGAUGCAACGCGAAGAACCUUACCAGGGUUUGACAUCCUGCGAAUCCCUUGGAAACUUGGGAGUGCCUUCGGGAGCGCAGUGACAGGUGGUGCAUGGCUGUCGUCAGCUCGUGUCGUGAGAUGUUGGGUUAAGUCCCGCAACGAGCGCAACCCACGUCUUUAGUUGCCAGCAUUGAGUUGGGCACUCUAGAGAGACCGCCGGUGAUAAACCGGAGGAAGGUGUGGAUGACGUCAAGUCAUCAUGCCCCUUACAUCCUGGGCUACACACGUACUACAAUGCUACGGACAAAGGGCAGCAAACUCGCGAGAGCUAGCAAAUCCCAUAAACCGUGGCUCAGUUCAGAUCGUAGGCUGCAACUCGCCUACGUGAAGGAGGAAUCGCUAGUAAUCGCAGGUCAGCAUACUGCGGUGAAUACGUUCCCGGGCCUUGUACACACCGCCCGUCACACCAUGGAAGUUGGCCACGCCCGAAGCCGUUACUCCAACCCUUGUGGAGGAGGACGUCGAAGGUGGGGCUGAUGACUGGGGUGAAGUCGUAACAAGGUAACC